rnacentral:rRNA from 1 species
AUUGAACGCUGGCGGCAGGCCUAACACAUGCAAGUCGAGCGGAUGAAGGGAGCUUGCUCCUGGAUUCAGCGGCGGACGGGUGAGUAAUGCCUAGGAAUCUGCCUGGUAGUGGGGGAUAACGUCCGGAAACGGGCGCUAAUACCGCAUACGUCCUGAGGGAGAAAGUGGGGGAUCUUCGGACCUCACGCUAUCAGAUGAGCCUAGGUCGGAUUAGCUAGUUGGUGGGGUAAAGGCCUACCAAGGCGACGAUCCGUAACUGGUCUGAGAGGAUGAUCAGUCACACUGGAACUGAGACACGGUCCAGACUCCUACGGGAGGCAGCAGUGGGGAAUAUUGGACAAUGGGCGAAAGCAUGAUCCAGCAAUGCCGCGUGUGUGAAGAAGGUCUUCGGAUUGUAAAGCACUUUAAGUUGGGAGGAAGGGCAGUAAGUUAAUAACUUGCUGUUUUGACGUUACCAACAGAAUAAGCACCGGCUAACUUCGUG